UUAAUGGGGGAACGAGCCGGGAAAGCGCCAGGUGGGUCGGUGCUGCUUGGAACGUAACCUUGUUCUGUUUUCGGGCUGCCGGCGUUGUGCUUCGUGGCACAGAGCAAAGGCCAGGGAAACAUUUAGGUCGGUUACUCCGCGAUUUGCUCUCAGCCGAUCGCGGCCCAGCGGCUGCGGGCCUGCAGUAGCUCCCGCCCUCAACCAGGGGGCGCCGCUUUUCCAGCCCGCGGCAUGGUGAUUUCAGGUUGCAUCAUAGCGGUGCGAAAUACUCCAACCUGAGGUAUCGCCUGUUUUCUGUCUGUAAUUUGUACCCACGGCGCUUCAUUCUGCCUGAAGAAAGUGCAGAUGGGAGUCACAUCGGCAAGCCUCCAGUCCUCUGAGAUCUCUCCAGUUGACCAGGAACACUGAUCAGUUGUGGAAAGCAGUAUGGCAAUCACCUCUGCCAGCUCCCUCAGCACCCUCACGUGGAUCCCAUCUGGCCCCAUGGACCUGUGACAGUCUACAUGGAGUAGAAGGUGUUCAUGGAUAAGAUAUUUUGGAAUCUAAGAUGGCUGCCUGCAUCUACUCAUUAGGUUUGGGAAUGGGAAAUGAAACAAACAUAGCAACACGUACUGUAUUUCAGCUUCAACUGAACAGAAUAAGGUAAAGCAGAAAGAAAUUAAUUACAAAUCUCUCUACAGAUGUGAUUUGUGGAUUCAGUCUGUAUUCCUUUUUCUCUGGAAAGGCAGGUAAGGUACUUCAGAGAAUCAUUUCUAGAGUAUCCACCUAGUCUCUCUUCUGCUGUGAGUCUUUCAGACUGCUCUGUACAGUGGCUAGAAGGGAGGCUACGAACAGAUGGCUGUUUGCACUGAUAACUGUGUCUGCUCCUAGUCAGAUCAAUUGGUUAAAUCCCAGUUAAAGAUCGCAGCUUGGUAAAAUGAUACAGACAGUGUUUCAGUCACUCUUCACAGUCCUGUAAAGUGAUUAAAAUGCAUUCCUAGAAAUAAAAACUGAGUUUCAGUACAUGGUAAGGGUUGUGCAGAACACAUUGCUGGAGCAUAACAGUACUUGUCCCUCAAGAGUACAGUUUUAAAGGGUAUAAAAGGACCAAGGAAGAGCCACUGAUGUCAUCUAUCUGGACUUUGGUAAGGCUUUUAAAUGGUCCCCCAGAACAUCCUUCUCUCCCAAUUACAAAGAUACGGAUUUGAUGGCUGGACUGUUCAACGAAUGAGGAAAAUGAAUCAAUGUCUAGAAGCAGACCAGUGAUGAAUGGUGUCCUUCAAGGGUCAAUGGGACCAAUGCUCUUUAAUAUUUUCAUCAAUGACAUCAACAGUGGGAUCAAGCGUGUCCUCAGCAAGUUUGCAGAUGACAGUACACUGUCUGAUGUGGUCAACACCUUUGAGGGACAGGAUGUGAUCCAAAGAGAUCUAGACAAGCUGAAGCAGUGGGCUCUGUAGAGCCUCGACAAAUCCAACUGCAGAAUUGCACCUGGGUCCCCCAUGUUCAGGAAUUCCUACUGACAGUACGAGAUGGGGGAUGAAAGGAUUGAGCAUAGCUCUGCCAAAAAGGGCUUGGGGGUACUGGUGGAUGGAAAGCAGGACAAGAGCCAGCAAUGUGCCCUCACAGCCCAGAAAGACAACUGUA